rnacentral:rRNA from 1 species
GAGCCCCAAAUUUUUUCCGUAGGGUGCACCUGCGGAGGAUCAUU